AGAGUUUGAUCCUGGCUCAGAUUGAACGCUGGCGGCAGGCCUAACACAUGCAAGUCGAGCGGAUGAGUGGAGCUUGCUCCAUGAUUCAGCGGCGGACGGGUGAGUAAUGCCUAGGAAUCUGCCUGGUAGUGGGGGACAACGUUUCGAAAGGAACGCUAAUACCGCAUACGUCCUACGGGAGAAAGCAGGGGACCUUCGGGCCUUGCGCUAUCAGAUGAGCCUAGGUCGGAUUAGCUAGUUGGUGAGGUAAAGGCUCACCAAGGCGACGAUCCGUAACUGGUCUGAGAGGAUGAUCAGUCACACUGGAACUGAGACACGGUCCAGACUCCUACGGGAGGCAGCAGUGGGGAAUAUUGGACAAUGGGCGAAAGCCUGAUCCAGCCAUGCCGCGUGUGUGAAGAAGGUCUUCGGAUUGUAAAGCACUUUAAGUUGGGAGGAAGGGCAGUAAGUUAAUACCUUGCUGUUUUGACGUUACCGGCAGAAUAAGCACCGGCUAACUUCGUGCCAGCAGCCGCGGUAAUACGAAGGGUGCAAGCGUUAAUCGGAAUUACUGGGCGUAAAGCGCGCGUAGGUGGUUCGUUAAGUUGGAUGUGAAAGCCCCGGGCUCAACCUGGGAACUGCAUCCAAAACUGGCGAGCUAGAGUAUGGCAGAGGGUGGUGGAAUUUCCUGUGUAGCGGUGAAAUGCGUAGAUAUAGGAAGGAACACCAGUGGCGAAGGCGACCACCUGGGCUAAUACUGACACUGAGGU
rnacentral:rRNA from 2 species